rnacentral:rRNA from 1 species
AUUGAACGCUGGCGGCAUGCUUUACACAUGCAAGUCGAACGGUGACAGGCCGCAAGGUGCUGACGAGUGGCGAACGGGUGAGUAAUGCAUCGGAACGUGCCCAGUCGUGGGGGAAAACGCAGCGAAAGCUGUGCUAAUACCGCAUACGAUCUGUGGAUGAAAGCGGGGGACCGUAAGGCCUCGCGCGAUUGGAGCGGCCGAUGUCAGAUUAGGUAGUUGGUGGGGUAAAGGCUCACCAAGCCGACGAUCUGUAGCUGGUCUGAGAGGACGACCAGCCACACUGGGACUGAGACACGGCCCAGACUCCUACGGGAGGCAGCAGUGGGGAAUUUUGGACAAUGGGCGCAAGCCUGAUCCAGCAAUGCCGCGUGCAGGAAGAAGGCCUUCGGGUUGUAAACUGCUUUUGUACGGAGCGAAAAGGCUCCCUCUAAUACAGGGGGCUCAUGACGGUACCGUAAGAAUAAGCACCGGCUAACUACGUGCCAGCCGCCGCAGUAAUAC